AGUGAACGCUGGCGGUAGGCCUAACACAUGCAAGUCGAACGGCAGCACCGUAAGAGCUUGCUCUUACGGGUGGCGAGUGGCGGACGGUUGAGUUAUACAUCGGAAUCUCCUUUUUCGUGGGGGAUAACGUAGGGAAACUUACGCUAAUACCGCAUACGACCUACGGGUGAAAGCAGGGGAUCUUCGGACCUUGCGCGAUUGAAUGAGCCGAUGUCGGAUUAGCUAGUUGGCGGGGUAAAGGCCCACCAAGGCGACGAUCCGUAGCUGGUCUGAGAGGAUGAUCAGACACACUGGAACUGAGACACGGUCCAGACUCCGACGGGAGGAAGCAGUGGGGAAUAUUGGACAAUGGGCGCAAGCCUGAUCCAGCCAUACCGCGGGGGUGAAGAAGGACUUCGGGUUGUAAAGCCCUUUUGUUGGGAAAGAAAAGCAGCAGGUUAAGACCCCGCUGUUCUGACGGUACCAAAAGAAUAAGCACCGGCUAACUUCGUG
rnacentral:rRNA from 1 species